UGGGGAAUUUUGGACAAUGGGGGCAACCCUGAUCCAGCAAUGCCGCGUGUGUGAAGAAGGCCUUCGGGUUGUAAAGCACUUUUGUCCGGAAAGAAAACGUCGUGGUUAAUACCCGUGGCGGCUGACGGUACCGGAAGAAUAAGCACCGGCUAACUACGUGCCAGCAGCCGCGGUAAUACGUAGGGUGCAAGCGUUAAUCGGAAUUACUGGGCGUAAAGCGUGCGCAGGCGGUCCGCUAAGACAGAUGUGAAAUCCCCGGGCUUAACCUGGGAACUGCAUUUGUGACUGGCGGGCUAGAGUAUGGCAGAGGGGGGUAGAAUUCCACGUGUAGCAGUGAAAUGCGUAGAGAUGUGGAGGAAUACCGAUGGCGAAGGCAGCCCCUGGGCCAAUACUGACGCUCAUGCACGAAAGCGUGGGGGAGCAAACAGGAUUAGAUACCCUGGUAGUCCACGCCCUAAACGAUGUCAACUAGUUGUCGGGUCUUCAUUGACUUGGUAACGUAGCUAACGCGUGAAGUUGACCGCCUGGGGAGUACGGUCGC
rnacentral:rRNA from 1 species